ensembl:lncRNA
CUCUCCCUGGUAAUAAAAGUGUUCAUCAUUGACAUGAGAAGGGAAAAUGCUUCAGGUAUCAUCUGAAUAAAACCUAAUCUUUUAAGUUGCUUGAUGUAUGUUGUCUCGGAGGAAUGGCCUUGUUUUCCUUCACUCAGGAUUGCCAGCUCCUUGGUUUUGCUUCAGAAGGACCCAAGAGUCAAGUAAUUCGACAGUCCCAAUACUUGAUGCAUAGGGAUCAGGUUGUGCCACUGUGAAGCUGGGUUGACCCCUUAGAGCGUAUGGUGGAGAUCUUUUCCUUGACUGCACAUGCUUCGGGUAAGGUUUGGAGAAGAGAAGGGGACGUACCAUAGGCAGAAGCUGAAUGAGCUGUAAUCACGAGGGCUAAUGAGUCGUUUGUCUGCACAUGUAAGAGUCUGUGCAUGACCUCGUGUUACUAGGGAAGAAUGGAGUCUUAGAAAUCUGCUGGCAGUCAUUGAGGUCCAGUGUUCACACUUGUUCACGUGUACAGGUGGAUGCAAGUCACACGAGUGUUUGCCAUUGCCCGUUUCUCAAGAACAACCCUUCAAGGUCAAUCUCACCAUUUUGGCUCUACUUAAGCAGUAGGAAAUCACAUCUAAUCCUUUCCCUGCAGCACUUUUGCUGGAAAAAGCCAUUGCUCUAUUGAAAAAUAGCACUUUCCUGAUUAUCAACCAGUGUCUGCAUAUUCUGCUGUCAUCACGCCUUAAUUUGGGGUAGGGGAGGCAACUGGUUUCAAAAUACUUGAUAGUUCUCUCUGUGCCUUCUCUGCUGGAUCUAAUGAUGUAAUUGCAGUGGGCCUUCUGAACUGCAGCACCACCCUUCAGGGAUCAGUCUAAUAACCAGCAGAGCACUACAGGAGCCACGCUACCCCUGGAUACGAUGCAAUACGAGGUGAAGGGAUUAGCAUGAGAUUGUGACAAGAAGAGGAAACAGCACAGCAUAAGCGAUCUCUCCUGAUAAAGAUCUUGUGAGCAGAGAAGAGCAGAGGAAGUGGGACACGUGUGACGAUUCCUAUGACGAUGCAUCAUCUAUAGGAUUGCCUUAAGGGUGACAGAGGUCCACCUGUACUGCAGCUGUAAUCCAUCCAGCAGUGCACAGAUACCAAGUACCAAAGCAUGGAGUGAGAUGGAGCCUCCUCUGAAGGCAGCAGCCUCUCCAGACACCCUGCCAAGCUGAGCCUGGACUUUGGAGGUGAGUGGACAGC